GUGGGAGGGGGCUUGCCCCCGAUUGCAGUGGGUCAGCACCUUAUAAGUUGACUGACCCACCACUAUCGGGGGCAAGCCCCCUCCCAC
rnacentral:misc_RNA from 1 species